CCCGAAGCCUUGUCGUGUUCUGGACGCUUCCGUCGAUGACUGACAUCUGGCAACAUGGAGUUGACACUGCUGGCCACUUGCUUUAUGCUCGCAGCUUGUGCUAAGGAUGUUGAUGGACUGUUGGCACGUUUAGUACAAGGGACAAAUGACACCGGAGCCUCUAAAGGUCGGCUAGAAAUUUUCUGCAAUGAAACAUGGAGCACAGUUUGCGACGACAGAUUCGGAAAAACAGAGGCAGAGGUGGCCUGUAGGAUGCUGGGCUUCAACUCUACUCGAUCCCUGGCUGUGAGAUCAUCAAUGUAUGGAGAAGGCUCGGGUACAAUUCUAAUGGAUGACGUGUGGUGUCAAGGGUCAGAGACUGACCUACUCCAAUGUAAACACAGAGGACUGUACACACACAACUGCGCGCAUGACGAGGAUGUCGGAAUUAUCUGCAGCGAACAACCCGAACAAGUACGUUUGACAGGCACAGAUUUGGCAGCACCUGACACGGGUCGAGUAGAAAUACAACUAGAUAGUGAGUGGUUCACAGUGAUAGUCCCUGACGACAACUUUGCUAAAGUCGUUUGCAAUCAAAGCGGUCUUCCCAGCAAGGAAGCAGUCGUCACGCAAGCCUCGUCAUUUACACGAAGUCAGUCCACUCAACUGAUGGUUCAUCUGGACUGCAAGGGUAAUGAGAGCAGCAUUCUGGACUGUGACCAACUCACAGACAGUGAAUCUUGUAGGAAACUGGACUUUGGCGUCAUUUGCUCUGACCGUGAGCAGCUCAAUCCCCGUUUGGUUAAUGGUUCGUCGUCAUUCAACGGUCUUCUUGAAGUAUCACACAACGGAAGCUACGUCAAAGUGUGUUCUCAUAUGUACCUUAACACCUUGGCAUUUGUAGCCUGUAAAACGCUCGGCCUCAAUAGGUGUGUCAUGUGAUGCAGGUCAAGUAUUUGUUCCUACAAUGAGGACCAAUUUUUGCUAACAAGACACGUUAUUCAAGUCUCUUAAUCUUUGUUACAAAUGUUUACAAUAUAUUUUUGAAUUAGGGUGUCAUAUAGCUUCUUGUUACCUACAUCAUUAACAGAGCAAUUUAUUAUCAGAACAUUUAAACAAUUAAGCUUUGUUCACAAAGACAAUUAGUUUAAUUGUGGCAUCUUGUUCUGCAAGAGAGGUAUUUUAUUUAUUAUUAUUAUUGCAAUGCAGUAUAUAAUAUAUAAAUAUAUCAGCUUGUUUAUAUACAUAUAGGCAGUUACGUGUUGUCACCAAAUGCACAUUUUGUUUUGUCUUCCAUAGUUCAAAUGCAUUGGCUGUUCAUCAUUCAAUGUACGGGGACAGUAAGGGAACUCAGUUCAUGGCAAUUGAUUGUUUGGGUAGAGAGAACAGUUUGACAAACUGUCAACACGGACUAAUCAACAAUGCUUAUUGUUCCACAGAUGAUUCCAUUGGUGUCAUUUGCAGUAACCGUAAGAGAGAAUCUCGUACAACAACAAGUUUAUUAUUGCUCGUGCCAUGGUUGUAUCCUGCUUGACAUAAUAACUUCCUUUUAACGAUUGUCUUUUUGUUUUAAAAAGAAUGCAGCUACGAUUUUCCACACUGAACCAUCAAACACAUUUAUUUUUCUAAUUACAAUAAUAUCAGUUAAAACGAUUUAUUACAUGAAGUAAAACAGUUGAACAUCUGAAACUAACUCUAUAAACGUUUUGACAGAUACGGAAAGACUGCGCCUCACGGGAACAAGUCGCACAAGACAAGACAUGGGGCGUGUUGGAGAUACAAUUAGAUGAUAAAUGGUAUUCACUGUUCAUCGAUGGCAAUGUAGCCCCAUUAGUAUGCCGCUUACUCAAUCUACCCUGGAAGGAAGCAGUGCCGUUAUGGGAAUCACCUGGAACCAUGGAACCGACAAGACUUCUUACCCAAUUUUUUUGUGUGGGUGGCUAUUCCAGACUACUCGGCUGGCCCUAUCUGCCAUUCAGCAGAUAUUUUUCUUCAGAUUCAUAUUUCUUCGGCGUCCACUGCAGCAACUCCGUUUCUCUUUUAAUUCAUCCAGAAGGAAUGAUGUAUCCUCUCACUGAAGGAACGAAUGUAACAUUAAAGUGUGGGUACAGAAAAUGGCAUCCAUACAAUGUCACGUGGCCAGAAAAUGCCGGAGGUGUACCUAAUGGAAGUAAGCUGAUGAUAGACAAUGUGACCAGAACACACAAUGGGAGCCGUGUGAAGUGUGUGGCCAUGUACAAGACAGGAGAUCUUUACUCAAAACGUUUAACUAGCGAUACUCUAGAGUUGCAGGUUUACUACCAGCCAUCUAUACUGAUAACCUCUAACCUGACCACGUGCAGACCUCAGCCACCACAGAACGUGUGUGUUGUGACUCACAAUACCAGUGUCACUAUUGUGUGUGAUGCUGACAGCAACCCACCUCCUGCUAACAUCACCUGGUCCGGGCCUGUCAGCAGUGGGACUCAAGAGUUACAUCUCACACCAGCUAACUCCUCUACACACCAAGGUUUCUACACCUGUAGUGUCUUCACUCCGUCAAGUGAUGAGGAUGAACGACUGCCUCUAUCGUCAAACUAUACAUUUGCCGUAGUUAUCCAAGACCGACCAGCUGUGGUGAGCUUCCAGCUGAAUGGUGUAAACAACCAGAGCGUGACGGUCACUGAAAACUCCGAUGUCGACAUAUCUUGUGUGGCCACUGGAAGACCCAACAUAAUAAUUAAAGAACUAAACAAACAGGAGCUAUGCAGAAGGUCUCAAGAAGUAAUCAGGCCUUUUGAAAAAGAACAAAGUGACUUAAAUUUUAGGUUAAGUGUUGUUGGGUGUCAACAGUCAGGUGACUACAGGUGUGAGGUGAACAACGAGCUAGGAAAUGACAGUCGGACUGUCAGACUACUAGUCCAGUGUGCUCCGAAACUAGAGGAUAUGGAUGCAGUAGUUAACAUCAGUAACAGUAAAGGGCGUCUUAGUUUUAAGAUGACAUCCUACCCAGCGCCGACAAACGUGACUUUCCAAAAUGUCGCCGCCAGUAAAGCCAGGUCCCACACCUCGUUACUAAACGACAAACUUCACGUGACGUGUGUGCCAUCGCUUGCUUGCCCAGCCUCGUUGACCUGUGACCUCAGUGUAGCUAACCUCACUCGGACUGAUAAAGGCCCUUACAGGGUGAUCUUACCAACAGUCUUGGCAACACUUCUUUUGUUUUCACACUUACUGGAGGUAUUUACAACUGUACAUUAUCUCUAGAAAACCAUUUCAUGAUCUCACAUGCACCCGAUACCAAAACAAACUCAAACGUCCUUUGAUUUUAUAAACACACACAUUGCAUGCUUGUUACAUUACUGAAUAUACAUGUUCCAUUUUACUUUACAAACAUGUCUAAACCCUAUUUAAAAAAUCCAUUUCCUGGGUUCCGUGUAUUGGAAAAUCUGGAAAACCAGUAUAAUCGUCGUGUGCGUUAAUCUUCUUGUUCCUCGUUUGCUUUUUUGGAAGAACUUGGCAUACAAGUAAAGGUCAAAUCAACUUCACGUAAGUGUUAUUAUUAAUUUAUGAUUGAAUAAUAUAAUGUUACAAUGUGAUACAUUUAUUUAUUUUUAAUAUUUAAAUUUGAAUUAUAUACCUAAGUACAUUGUAGUUUUCUAUCAUUAAAACUUCAACAAGAUCGUGUGUGAUAAAAGACAACUAAUAUUCCUGAAAGUCUGAGUAAUAAUAAAAUGCUAGCUGUUGCAUUUUAAUUUGCAUGAUAUAAAUAUAUUUUAUUCAGCAAAGAAAAGGUCUAAAAAUGUUUCAACGUUAAACCAAGAAAACUUUCUGUCUUUGUCUUUUUAUGAAUGUUUCAGGGGAGACCAUAAAGAAAAACCAGUAAGACUAUAUCCUCAUCUCUGAUGAAGUUCUACUAUAAAGCCGUAGCGAGCGUCCGAGAAGGAAAAAAACAACGAACAUGCUUUACUAUAUUUGUCAUGUUUUGAUUUAUAACGAUCCUGUGUUGCACGAAUUUGCAGGUUUAAAGUUUAUUCAACGAAAAUAAUAAUCAA